ensembl:lncRNA
GAAAUAAUGACAUAAUAAGUGACGAAAAAAGGAGGAGGAGGAACUAAAACCAGACAAGGCCAUAUGGACCCUGACGCCUUUGAUUCUGUUGGGCACUCUUGCUGCUGACUGGACAGUGCGUGUUCCUAUGGAUCCAGUCUAUGCUACUUCUGGUUCUUCUGUAGUUUUGGAGUGCACCUAUGACUACCCUGAAGAAUCUGACCAGGGAAUACUACGCAAAGUGCUGUCAGAGAUGUGGUGUCUGAAUGAAAGCCGCUGCAUUACUCCCAGAUACGUGUACCACAGUGCAGGGAUAUUCCCUGAGCCCUCAUACCAGGGCCGAGUCAAGUACUUGGGGCAGACAGGAAGCAAAAACUGCUCUCUGAUGAUAUCUGAUCUGAGGUCAGAAGACAGCGGCGUGUACGUGUUCCGGUUCAUCACCAACCACCUGAAAGCCAAGCUACCAGGACAGAGAGGAGUGAAUCUACAGGUCACACAUCAGAUAAAAUCAAUAAGUGCAUCUUCAUUCAUUACUGGCAUUGUGCUUGGAGUUAUUAUCAUGGUUAUCAUAAUAGCAGGCAUUGUGGUACUCAUCAGACGCAAGUCACGGGGAGAGAGGUCAAUAUCACUUUAA